UAGGCGGAAUGUUGCGUAAAGGGACAGGCCGUAGUGUCUUACCCCUUCGGCCACGUGAAACGCUAAGUCAGCCACGGAUUGGCUAUCCCAACUAACGGCGGGACAAACUCCACGGAGGGUGCAAGACCCGUGUGGGCACGUGUUAAAGCUGAAUGGGGUCGGCCUCUUGUGUUCCCUGAGAGUCGCGUUGCUUGAACAUGCAGCGCUAAGCAGGUCGUAAACUCGACCUAAGGCUAAAUAUUUCCACAGGACCGAUAGCUAAUAAGUACCGUGAGGGAAAGUUGAAAAGCACUCUGAAGAGAGAGUGAAAAGACCGU
rnacentral:rRNA from 1 species